AGCGCGGCCUUCGGGCUGGCGGCGAGCGGCGAACGGGUGAGUAAUGCAUCGGAACAUGCCCAGUCGUGGGGGAUAACACUUCGAAAGAAGUGCUAAUACCGCAUACGUCCUGAGGGGGAAAGCGGGGGAUCGCAAGACCUCGCGCGAUUGGAGUGGCCGAUGUCAGAUUAGCUAGUUGGUGGGGUAAAGGCCUACCAAGGCGACGAUCUGUAGCUGGUCUGAGAGGAUGAUCAGCCACACUGGGACUGAGACACGGCCCAGACUCCUACGGGAGGCAGCAGUGGGGAAUUUUGGACAAUGGGGGCAACCCUGAUCCAGCCAUUCCGCGUGAGUGAAGAAGGCCUUCGGGUUGUAAAGCUCUUUCGGCAGGAACGAAACGGUGGGCUCUAACAUAUUCCGCUAAUGACGGUACCUGAAGAAGAAGCACCGGNNNNCUACGUGCCAGCAGCCGCGGUAAUACGUAGGGUGCGAGCGUUAAUCGGAAUUACUGGGCGUAAAGCGUGCGCAGGCGGUUGUGUAAGACAGGUGUGAAAUCCCCGGGCUUAACCUGGGAACUGCGCUUGUGACUGCACGGCUAGAGUAUGGCAGAGGGGGGUGGAAUUCCACGUGUAGCAGUGAAAUGCGUAGAGAUGUGGAGGAACACCGAUGGCGAAGGCAGCCCCCUGGGCCAAUACUGACGCUCAUGCACGAAAGCGUGGAGAGCAAACAGGAUUAGAUACCCUGGUAGUCCACGCCCUAAACGAUGUCGACUAGGUGUUCGGUGAGGAGACUCAUUGAGUACCGCAGCUAACGCGUGAAGUCGACCGCCUGGGGAGUACGGUCGCAAGAUUAAAACUCAAAGGAAUUGA
rnacentral:rRNA from 1 species